UUGGAGGGCAAGUCUGGUGCCAGCAGCCGCGGUAAUUCCAGCUCCAAUAGCGUAUAUUAAAGUUGUUGCAGUUAAAAAGCUCGUAGUUGAAUUUCGGGAUUCAUCCGUUGGUCGGGCUUCACGGUCCGUACUGGUGUGAUGGGUUCCUACCUUCUGAAUAACCGGCAUGCCAUUAAUUUGGUGCGCCGGGGAAGCAGAACUAUUACCUUGAAAAAAUUAGAGUGCUUAAAGCAGGCAAGUGCCUGAAUAGGUUAGCAUGGAAUAAUAAAAUAGGACGGCAUGGUUCUAUUUUGUUGGUUUCUAGGAUCACCGUAAUGAUUAAUAGGGAUAGUUGGGGGCAUUAGUAUUCAAUUGUCAGAGGUGAAAUUCUUGGAUUUAUUGAAGACUAACUUCUGCGAAAGCAUUCGCCAAGGAUGUUUUCAUUAAUCAAGAACGAAAGUUAGGGGAUCGAAGACGAUCAGAUACCGUCGUAGUCUUAACCAUAAACUAUGCCGACUAGGGAUCGGACGAUGUUAAUUUUUUAAUGACUCGUUCGGCGCCUUACGGGAAAC
rnacentral:rRNA from 1 species